rnacentral:lncRNA from 1 species
AGGAUUGGAAGAAAUGUUAUGUAAUUUCUUCCUCAAAUGUAAGACUAAUCAUAUAAACUAUAGCUUUUACACUGUUGGUUCAGUUAGAAACAAUGAUACAUCUCUAGAAUUCAGUUAAAGAGGGAUUCUUGGUCUAGCCCAGUAGUUCUCAAAUCAAGAUGCAUAUUACCACUGCCUGGAGGCUUUUUAAUAAAUACUAACAGCAGGUUUCCAUCUUCAGAUACCCUAAUGUGUGACCUAGUCAUCAAUAUUAAAGCUUCUCAGGUACUUUUAAUGUGCAGCAAAGGUUGAGAACUUUUAGUCUAGACUAUAUCUGAAGUCUGUAGCCAUCUAACACAGAUUUUAAUUCUCAUUUAUCAGCAUCAUCUAGAACAAUCUUCUUAAUCUUUAUUCCAUAUUUUUCUUUCAUGUAGUCACAAGUCUAUGACUUUUGUUAUAGUUAAUUACUACAUUAAAUUAUAUCUUUGGUUAA